GGAAUUACUGGGCGUAAAGCGUGCGCAGGCGGUCCGCUAAGACAGAUGUGAAAUCCCCGGGCUUAACCUGGGAACUGCAUUUGUGACUGGCGGGCUAGAGUAUGGCAGAGGGGGGUAGAAUUCCACGUGUAGCAGUGAAAUGCGUAGAGAUGUGGAGGAAUACCGAUGGCGAAGGCAGCCCCCUGGGCCAAUACUGACGCUCAUGCACGAAAGCGUGGGGGGCAAACAGGAUUAGAUACCCUGGUAGUCCACGCCCUAAACGAUGUCAACUAGUUGUCGGGUCUUCAUUGACUUGGUAACGUAGCUAACGCGUGAAGUUGACCGCCUGGGGAGUACGGUCGCAAGAUUAAAACUCAAAGGAAUUGACGGGGACCCGCACAAGCGGUGGAUGAUGUGGAUUAAUUCGAUGCAACGCGAAAAACCUUACCUACCCUUGACAUGUAUGGAAUCCUGCUGAGAGGUGGGAGUGCCCGAAAGGGAGCCAUAACACAGGUGCUGCAUGGCUGUCGUCAGCUCGUGUCGUGAGAUGUUGGGUUAAGUCCCGCAACGAGCGCAACCCUUGUCCCUAGUUGCUACGCAAGAGCACUCUAGGGAGACUGCCGGUGACAAACCAGAGGAAGGUGGGGAUGACGUCAAGUCCUCAUGGCCCUUAUGGGUAGGGCUUCACACGUCAUACAAUGGUCGGAACAGAGGGUCGCCAACCCGCGAGGGGGAGCCAAUCCCAGAAAACCGAUCGUAGUCCGGAUCGCACUCUGCAACUCGAGUGCGUGAAGC
rnacentral:rRNA from 1 species